rnacentral:lncRNA from 1 species
GGGGAACGUUGCCCCUGUCACAUCAACUCACGGCUGGCCCCACACAGAAAGGGUCAGCUUACUGGGAACUAACUGGACCCUGAAAUAAACGGGAAGAACCACAGCCUGCAAAUACCUCUAAGCCUCACUCAAAGCAGGUCAUGUUUGCUCAUGACCAAAUUCCGGAAGACUGGGAGGCAUCGGGACAGACUCCAGAAAGGUACUGGUGGCAGGGGACUGGUCUGCUGAGUCACAGCAACCCCACGCUCCAGGCCGUUUGUUCCUGCUGCUCCCUUUGGGAUUAACUAGAGAUUGAACCGGCUCACCUUGUUUCAGCUCAGGCCCUGCAACCGACCGACCGUCUGCUGGGCUCCAAGUCACCUGAGAGGCGAGCCCUUGCCCUGUUGGAUGAAUAGGCACCUCUGGAAGAGCCAACUGUGUGAGAUGGUGCAGCCCAGUGGUGGCCCGGCAGCAGAUCAGGACGUACUGGGCGAAGAGUCUCCUCUGGGGAAGCCAGCCAUGCUGCACCUGCCUUCAGAACAGGGCGCUCCUGAGACCCUCCAGCGCUGCCUGGAGGAGAAUCAAGAGCUCCGAGGUGAGGAAAGAGUCAGGGUAUCCAGCCCUGCUGAGGGGAAGGCGUCUUCUCCCCACCUGCACCUCUGCGUUUCCUGGGCCUGGGGUGGGGAUGUGCUGCCCUCCCUCUUGGUUUCAGGAAGUAGACUCUGAGAUGCAGAUUAGCGGGGAGGAAGUUUAGCGUGCUCUCAGGACCAGUACUGGGAAGGGAAAGGAGGGACAGGGGAAGAAGCCGGGGAGGGCAGAGGGAGAAGCACGCUGCCGGGUAGGCUCCAGGACAGCCUUGCUGGACCUUACAGGGAGCUCUGGAGCUGGAAUGAACCUUCCAGGUUGGACCAACAUGUCCAGGCCUCUGUGUCCCUGCACUGAGCACUUAUGAAGUGCUGUCCAUCCUGGGACAGGGCAGAGUCGGCCCUGGGAAGAGGCGUGGUCUGCCCAGAGAGGGGGUGGGGUCUGUCCUGGAAAUGGGCGGGGCAUGCCCUGGUAGAGGGGCGUGGUCUGUCUUGGGAAGGAAGGGGCGUGGUCUGUCUUGGGAAGGAAGGUGCGUGGCCCCCACAGGCAACAUUCCUCUGGGGCAAUCCCGGCGCACACCUCAGCGGAGGUGAAGGCUGACUUCCCACACCCAGUGGCUGGGACUGGGGAGUUCUUUCCUAGACUGCCAUCCGGGCGCCCCUCACCCUCUUGCUGCUCAGCUCCAGGUCGUCGUGGGUUCAGGGCUCAGCUGCACGC